GCCCUCUUAGCUCAGGGGUAGAGCGUGUCACUCGUAAUGACAAGGUCAUCAGUUCAAUUCUGAUAGUGGGCA
rnacentral:tRNA from 1 species